CUCAGGGCAGGGCCCAUGCCCAGCAGCACACGGGCACCACGAACGAGCGUGAUGCUGGUUUGGAUUUCUUGUCUUAGAAUCUUUGGGCAUUUAUUUAUUCUCUAAAACUUUACAGACUGGUUCAGCUGGACAACUAUUAUUAAAAUGCUACACAAAUGCUGACUAUAAAACUGGCCCAAGUUUUCACUUACCUCAUAACUUAACUGCUUCCCAACAAUUUCCUGCACCUUCCAGAAGCAAGAUUUGGGAUAUUGGACAAAUUUAAGAAUGCUUGGAAUACUGACACCUAGGAGCACAAGUUGCAAGAAUCUGUUACCAAAGAACCGAAGCUUUCACAAAUCUGAAGAUGAAAGAAAAAUGUUGAGGGUGCAGAGAGUGAGACAUGAAGGCUCUGACCAACCUUAUCCAUCUACAACGAAAAGAGCUUGCCUGGAGAAUUCAUGUUUUGUGCCUUUGAGAUCAACUCCUUAGCGUAACUAUGACAAAACCAUGAUUAAAACUGAUUACUUUAAAUAUGA